rnacentral:rRNA from 1 species
UGCCAAAGCCAUAUCAACCUGCAGCCCAAGACUGGUUACUCACUGAAGCUAAGCUGGGCUGAGCCUGGUCAGAACCUGGAUGGGAGACCACUUGGGAAACCAUGUUGCUAUUGGAA